CAUUUGCUAGCUGUUUUGCUACUAAAACUGAAUAGAAGGAGCAAUUACGUAGGGACGUCAUUUCAAUGGCAUCCGUGAGAGACCAAUUGGAGAAUUCUCUAGGCAGUGCUACCCAGAAUGUAGCUGUGCCUCUGCAGCAUUUGAUGGCGCGGUUAGAACUUGACGCCAUCAAGCCUUCCUGUGUUUCAGUAAAAUGGGUCACUCAUGAUUCUUCAAAUUAUCCACGCAAACCUUCAGAAGAACGUCUAUACCUGACGCUGAAAAAACUACCAAAGGAAAAUCAUGUGGAAGAAGAAAUUCAUAGAUUCCUUCUUCUUCAUUUUCUUAACGUAUAAUUUGAAUUGUUGGAAGAGGUGACAAAUAAAGGACUGAAAAAGUAAGCGACAAGCAUGACAGACCACUGGGAGGCAUCAGUUUGGAGAUGGCUCGGUACAUUCACAGAGAAGACAUGGAAUAUAAAGGCAUUUCUUGGGCAAGCACUGUGGCGCAGUGAGUUAACGCCCCGGCCUGGAGUGCCAGCAUGCCAUAUGGGCUCUGGUUCUAGUCCCAGCUACUCCACUUCUGAUCCAGCUCUCUGCUGUGGCCUGGGAAAGCAGUAGAAGAUGGGCAAGUCCUUGGGCCCCUGCACCCGCGUGGGAAACCCAGAGGAAGCUCCUGGCUCCUGGCUUCGGAUCAGCACAGCUCCGGCCAUUGUGGUCAUCUGGGGAGUGAACCAACAGAUGGAAGACCUCUCUCUCUCUCUCUCUCUCUCUCUCUCUCUGCCUCUCCUCCCUGUGUAACUCUGACUUUCAAAUAAAUAAAUAAAUCUUUAAAAAAAACUAAA